CCCCAUUUAAAAGCACUCGGUGGGCCUUUUGGUGAUGAGUUCCUGAGACAUCAAAAGGGGGCAGAGAUAAACCAUGCAUGUUUUGUUGUUUUUUUCUUUUUUUGAGACAGAGUACUCACUUGUGGCUAGA
rnacentral:snoRNA from 1 species